rnacentral:rRNA from 1 species
GUGGGGAAUAUUGCACAAUGGGCGCAAGCCUGAUGCAGCAACGCCGCGUGAGGGACGACGGCCUUCGGGUUGUAAACCUCUUUUAGCAGGGAAGAAGCGAAAGUGACGGUACCUGCAGAAAAAGCACCGGCUAACUACGUGCCAGCAGCCGCGGUAAUACGUAGGGUGCAAGCGUUGUCCGGAAUUAUUGGGCGUAAAGAGCUCGUAGGCGGUUUGUCGCGUCUGCUGUGAAACCCCGAGGCUCAACCUCGGGCCUGCAGUGGGUACGGGCAGUCUAGAGGGCGGUAGGGGAGAUUGGAAUUCCUGGUGUAGCGGUGGAAUGCGCAGAUAUCAGGAGGAACACCGAUGGCGAAGGCAGAUCUCUGGGCCGUAACUGACGCUGAGGAGCGAAAGCGUGGGGAGCGAACAGGAUUAGAUACCCGAGUAGUCC